rnacentral:piRNA from 1 species
UGGGAUUGCAGCCAUCUAGGAGAAGCU